GAGGAAUAUUGGGCAAUGCCCGCAAGGGUGACCCAGCAACGCCGCGUGGAGGAUGAAUGUCGUAAGAUUGUAAACUCCUGUUAGAGGGGAAGAAUAGUACCGGUUGGACCGGUAUAUGACUGUACCCUCAGAGAAAGCCCCGGCUAACUACGUGCCAGCAGCCGCGGAAAUACGUAGGGGGCAAGCGAUGUCCGGAUUUACUGGGUGUAAAGGGCGCGCAGGCGGGAUAAAAAGUCAGUGGUGAAAUCCUACAGCUUAACUGUAGAACUGCCUUUGAUACUUUUAUUCUUGAGUGCGGGAGAGAGAGACGGAAUUCCAGGUGUAGUGGUGAAAUACGUAGAUAUCUGGAAGAACACCAGUUGCGAAGGCGGUCUCUUGGUCCGACACUGACGCUGAGGCGCGAAAGCGUGGGGAGCAAACA
rnacentral:rRNA from 1 species